rnacentral:rRNA from 1 species
AACGGUAACAGGAAGCAGCUUGCUGCUUCGCUGACGAGUGGCGGACGGGUGAGUAAUGUCUGGGAAACUGCCUGAUGGAGGGGGAUAACUACUGGAAACGGUGGCUAAUACCGCAUAACGUCGCAAGACCAAAGAGGGGGACCUUCGGGCCUCUUGCCAUCAGAUGUGCCCAGAUGGGAUUAGCUAGUUGGUGAGGUAACGGCUCACCAAGGCGACGAUCCCUAGCUGGUCUGAGAGGAUGACCAGCCACACUGGAACUGAGACACGGUCCAGACUCCUACGGGAGGCAGCAGUGGGGAAUAUUGCACAAUGGGCGCAAGCCUGAUGCAGCCAUGCCGCGUGUAUGAAGAAGGCCUUCGGGUUGUAAAGUACUUUCAGCGGGGAGGAAGGUGUUGUGGUUAAUAACCGCAGCAAUUGACGUUACCCGCAGAAGAAGCACCGGCUAACUCCGUGCCAGCAGCCGCGGUAAUACGGAGGGUGCAAGCGUUAAUCGGAAUUACUGGGCGUAAAGCGCACGCAGGCGGUCUGUCAAGUCGGAUGUGAAAUCCCCGGGCUCAACCUGGGAACUGCAUUCGAAACUGGCAGGCUUGAGUCUUGUAGAGGGGGGUAGAAUUCCAGGUGUAGCGGUGAAAUGCGUAGAGAUCUGGAGGAAUACCGGUGGCGAAGGCGGCCCCCUGGACAAAGACUGACGCUCAGGUGCGAAAGCGUGGGGAGCAAACAGGAUUAGAUACCCUGGUAGUCCACGCCGUAAACGAUGUCUACUUGGAGGUUGUGCCCUUGAGGCGUGGCUUCCGGAGCUAACGCGUUAAGUAGACCGCCUGGGGAGUACGGCCGCAAGGUUAAAACUCAAAUGAAUUGACGGGGGCCCGCACAAGCGGUGGAGCAUGUGGUUUAAUUCGAUGCAACGCGAAGAACCUUACCUGGUCUUGACAUCCACAGAACUUUCCAGAGAUGGAUUGGUGCCUUCGGGAACUGUGAGACAGGUGCUGCAUGGCUGUCGUCAGCUCGUGUUGUGAAAUGUUGGGUUAAGUCCCGCAACGAGCGCAACCCUUAUCCUUUGUUGCCAGCGGUUAGGCCGGGAACUCAAAGGAGACUGCCAGUGAUAAACUGGAGGAAGGUGGGGAUGACGUCAAGUCAUCAUGGCCCUUACGACCAGGGCUACACACGUGCUACAAUGGCGCAUACAAAGAGAAGCGACCUCGCGAGAGCAAGCGGACCUCAUAAAGUGCGUCGUAGUCCGGAUUGGAGUCUGCAACUCGACUCCAUGAAGUCGGAAUCGCUAGUAAUCGUGGAUCAGAAUGCCACGGUGAAUACGUUCCCGGGCCUUGUACACACCGCCCGUCACACCAUGGGAGUGGGUUGCAAAAGAAGUAGGUAGCUUAACCUUCGGGAGGGCGCUUACCACUUUGUGAUUCAUGACUGGGGUGAAGUCGUAACAAGGUAACCGUAGGGGAACCUGCGGUUGGAUCACCUCCUUACCUUAAAGAA